rnacentral:tRNA from 1 species
AGCAAGACACUGAAAAUGUCUAGAUGGGCAUUAUUGCCCCAUCAACA